UGGGUUGUGGCUCAGUGAUAGAGCGCUUGCCUAGCACAGGUGAGGGUCUGGGUUCGAUCCCUAGCACCACAU
rnacentral:tRNA from 1 species